rnacentral:rRNA from 1 species
UACGUAGGGUGCAAGCGUUGUCCGGAAUUAUUGGGCGUAAAGAGCUCGUAGGUGGCUAUUCAAGUCAGAGGUGAAAGCCCAGGGCUCAACCUUGGAACUGCCUUUGAAACUAGAUAGCUAGAAUCCUGGAGAGGCGAGUGGAAUUCCGAGUGUAGAGGUGAAAUUCGUAGAUAUUCGGAAGAACACCAGUGGCGAAGGCGACUCGCUGGACAGGUAUUGACGCUGAGGUGCGAAAGCGUGGGGAGCAAACAGG